GGACGCGUGUCGGACAGCGGAGCACCGAGCGGCGAGCGGCGAGAGCCCUCCACAUGUGUGGGACCCGCCUGACCUUAUCUUCCCACCUUCCGUCGCUCUCUCUCUCUCCAACCCCUCCGUCUCUCUCCGCUUGCUCUCAGAUCCGCGAAAGAAAGUGAUGGCGCCGCCGGUGCCGGUACAGCCGGCGACCCCUCGCCUCCACGGACCGACUGGCCGGCCUCCCAUUCUAAGUUUCUAACCAUGGCUGGCUACCGUGCGGCUCCUCUGCCACCGCCGCCAGGGGGCGUCGAGUGGUUCAUCUGCAGCCGCCGGGGAUGGCGCGGGGCCCGUGGUCUUCGCUACGCGGAUGCUGCUCCUCCUCAUGCUGCUGCCGCUCGCUCGCCGUCGUCGUGGCCACCGCCACCAUCUCUCCGUCGACCCUCCCUCUCACCUCCUCAGCAAGCAGCGAGCAGCCUCGGCACUAGAUCCCCGUCGUCUAGCUCCCCCUCCCCCUCAUUCCAUCUCUUCUCCCCGCCGCCACCCUCCCUGUCCCAACUUGACCGCACGCGCUACCCGGCUCACCACCUUGAUGAUGGCAUAGGCUCCGUCAUUGCUGAAGAACGGUAAGCAACACGAGCUCGGCGGCUUGGGCAAGCCAGCGACGUUGCUACUGCGAGCUCUAGCUUGGCGGCGCAAGCAGCCGUGAGCUCAAGCACCAGCGUGGCUUCAAGCUCAUGCACAUUUACCAGAGUGGCAAACUAAUUGACCUCCUCCAAUCUCUUUUCCCUCUCGCCAAUCGAGGGGCAGCGCGAGGCGCAGCUUGCUGCUCCCACGAGUGUUCCACUGAUGGCUGCUGUGCUGGCUGACGAUGAAACAACCAAAGCAAGCUAAUUGAUACCUUCAUGCUUGAUCCAAGAAAUUGCCCAGUGGAAAGAAACUCAUAUUGGUGUGUUUCUAUUUGUACAUAUUCCAUUGAAUACUGGAUAUCAGCAUCAUAUACUCAGAAAUUUCUGCUUCAAAGUAUCAUGUCAUACAUGUUGAUCAUAUUGAUAAGCUACAACAUACUUAUGUGUAGUAUUUGGGUUUGUUAGAGAUCUUAUCUGAACGAAUAUAAGUUGGCUUCAAGUUUGAGAUUCCCA